rnacentral:rRNA from 1 species
GACGAACGCUGGCGGCGUGCCUAAUACAUGCAAGUCGAGCGGAUGGAAGGAAGCUUGCUUCCUAAAGUCAGCGGCGGACGGGUGAGUAACACGUGGGCAACCUGCCCCUAAGAUCGGGAUAACUUCGGGAAACCGGAGCUAAUACCGGAUAUGAUUAUGUCUCACAUGAGACAUAAUGGAAAGACGGUUUCGGCUGUCACUUAGGGAUGGGCCCGCGGCGCAUUAGCUAGUUGGUGAGGUAACGGCUCACCAAGGCGACGAUGCGUAGCCGACCUGAGAGGGUGAUCGGCCACACUGGGACUGAGACACGGCCCAGACUCCUACGGGAGGCAGCAGUAGGGAAUCUUCCGCAAUGGACGAAAGGCUGACGGAGCAACGCCGCGUGAGUGAAGAAGGUUUUCGGAUCGUAAAACUCUGUUGUUAGGGAAGAACAAGUACCAUAGUAACUGAUGGUACCUUGACGGUACCUAACCAGAAAGCCACGGCUAACUACGUGCCAGCCGCCGCCGUAACAC